AUGUUGCCCAGGCUGGCCUUGAAUUCCUGGCCUUGAACAAUCCUUUUGUCUCGGCCUCCCAAAGAGCUGGGAUUACAGGUGUGAGCCACUACACCCGGCCAUGCCUUCUAUCUUCUUUCUCUACUUUCAACACUUAAAUAUUUUUAGCCAGGUUUCAGCAGGAAAUGGAUGGACAUGAGGGCUCUGUCUGCCUGUUGGACCAGAAGCCCUUGCAUCUGAUCUAAACAAACCCCUUCUUGCCUUUGUUAGGGUUUCUGCUUGGUUUUAUUCACAAAAUUGACGUCUCAACUCUAAUAUUUAUGUUCUUGUCACAGACAACUGUGAUAGACUAAUCAGUUACCUAAUUGUCCUAAACCCAAUCUUUUAAUAAAAUCUGGUUUCUUAGGACCUGGAGCGACAGGUUUGCGAGAAAGCUCCUCCCUGGAUGAGGCCAAGAGCGUGGGAGUGAGUUCCAGGCUCCCAGAAGUGGGAAGUAUUUUGGAAGUAUUUUGGAUUUAGGCGGUAAAGAAUUCCCUAUAAAAAUAGCUGAACAGAUUGGCCUCAUAUCACUGUGGGACUUUCUUGGAACAUGAGGUGAGGUUAUGGGUUGGCUUGCAAAUAAAACCAAACACAUUUCCCAAUGAGGGAAUGGGGCUGUGGUUAGGAUGGGA
rnacentral:lncRNA from 1 species